rnacentral:rRNA from 1 species
GACAGAGGAUGCAAGCGUUAUCCGGAUUCACUGGGUUUAAAGGGUGCGUAGGUGGGCAAGUAAGUCAGUGGUGAAAUCUCCGGGCUUAACCCGGAAACUGCCAUUGAUACUAUUUGUCUUGAAUACUGUGGAGGUCAGCGGAAUAUGUCAUGUAGCGGUGAAAUGCUUAGAUAUGACAUAGAACACCAAUUGCGAAGGCAGCUGGCUACACAAAUAUUGACACUGAGGCACGAAAGCGUGGGGAUCAAACAGG